rnacentral:piRNA from 1 species
UGUCCUGGUUCUGUUAGGAUUCUGCCAGC